AGUAGUUUGAUCAUGGCUCAGGACGACGCUGGCGGCGUGCUUAACACAUGCAAGUCGAACGGUGACCCAGGGCUUGCCCUGGUGAUCAGUGGCGAACGGGUGAGUAACACGUGGGCAACCUGCCCCUGACUUCGGGAUAACUCCUCGAAAGAGGAGCUAAUACCGGAUACGACCACUUCGGACAUCCGAUGGUGGUGGAAAGUUUUUCGGUCAGGGAUGGGCCCGCGGCCUAUCAGCUAGUUGGUGGGGUAAUGGCCUACCAAGGCGACGACGGGUAGCCGGCCUGAGAGGGCGACCGGCCACACUGGGACUGAGACACGGCCCAGACUCCUACGGGAGGCAGCAGUGGGGAAUAUUGCGCAAUGGGCGAAAGCCUGACGCAGCGACGCCGCGUGAGGGAUGAAGGCCUUCGGGUUGUAAACCUCUUUCAGCAGGGACGAAGCGAAAGUGACGGUACCUGCAGAAGAAGCACCGGCUAACUACGUG
rnacentral:rRNA from 1 species